ACUCCUACGGGAGGCAGCAGUGGGGAAUUUUGGACAAUGGGCGAAAGCCUGAUCCAGCAAUGCCGCGUGAGUGAAGAAGGCCUUCGGGUUGUAAAGCUCUUUUGUCAGGGAAGAAACGGUGAGAGCUAAUAUCUCUUGCUGAUGACGGUACCUGAAGAAUAAGCACCGGCUAUCCACGUGCCAGCAGCCGCGGUAAU
rnacentral:rRNA from 1 species